rnacentral:rRNA from 1 species
GACGAACGCUGGCGGCGUGCUUAACACAUGCAAGUCGAACGGAAAGGCCCCUUUGGGGGUACUCGAGUGGCGAACGGGUGAGUAACACGUGAGUAACCUGCCCUUGACUUCGGGAUAACUUCAGGAAACUGGGGCUAAUACCGGAUAGGAAUCCUUGCUGCAUGGUGGGGGUUGGAAAGCUUCGGCGGUUUUGGAUGGACUCGCGGCUUAUCAGCUUGUUGGUGGGGUAGUGGCUUACCAAGGCUUGAUGGGUAGGCGGGCCGGGAGGGCGGACGGCCACAUUGGGACUGAGAUACGGCCCAGACUCCUACGGGAGGCAGCAGUGGGGAAUAUUGCACAAUGGGCGGAAGCCUGAUGCAGCAACGCCGCGUGCGGGAUGACGGCCUUCGGGUUGUAAACCGCUUUCAGCAGGGGCGAAGCUUGUGGUGACGGUACCUGCAGAAGAAGCACCGGCUAACUACGUG